AGAGUUGAAAAGUACAACUGGACAACCUUUGAGAAAGGACUAUUUUCAGAUGAUCUGGAUGGACAACAAAGGAAUCAAAUUCAAAUCCCUUAAAUAAGAAUUUAUUUGACCUAAUAAAUAAUUUUAUACAUUAAAAAAAAACCCUUUACACUAUUUGUAGGAA